UUUACAAAAACAUAGCCACAUGGUUAAAAAUGUGUGGUGACCCCUGCCCAGUGAAUUUUAAACGGCCGCUUAUGUGCUAAGGUAGCAUAAUAACUUGCCUUUUAAUUGGAGGCUUGUAUGAAUGGACCCAUGGGUUAAAGCUUUAUUGUUUGUAACACUUAAAUUUAAGAUUAAUGUGCAAACUCAUUAAUCAGCUUAAAAGACCAAAAGACCCCGGGAACUUUAAUUCUAUUGGUAUUUUUACCAUAUGAAUUUACGCUGGGAGAGCGAAGGAUAAACAUCCUAUCAAAAAAACUAUUUUCCUUAAAAAUUAAAACCUAAGCUACCCCGGGGAUAACAGGCUACUCUUUUUUAAAAGUUCAAAUUAACAAAAAGACCUAGCACCUCGAUGUUGGCUUAAGAGUAUGUAAAAUGUAGCAGUUUUACUUAAUGGCUUGUUCCGCCAAUAAUUUCUUACGUGAUCUGA
rnacentral:rRNA from 1 species